AAUCAAUAAAACAAUUCUAAAAAACGUAAAAAAAAAAACUUUUAUUUAUUGAUUGACGGUUGAAUUGCCAACUCUCAAAUAACAAAAUGUGUUUUACAUUUGCACUACGUUAGCAAACCUAAAAAUUCUUCAAUUUCAAUUCUUCUUUUCAAUUACUUAGUUGCCAACCCAAUAGUUUGGAGAAAAACGCAUUUAAAGACGAGCCGAAUGAACUGAGCGGCCACACUUGGGAAGGCUGUAACUCACAAACUAUAUUUUAAUCUAGGUGCAACCCUUAACCCUCAAGUCCUUACCGAAGAUUCAGGAAAUAUUUUCUCAUGAACUAGACUGCAACCAAAAUGCAGUCAGUUGGCGAAAACUUUCAGGUUUCUCAUUCUUUUCCUUCAAUAAAAUCUACCGAAGACAUAUAACGGAGAUAUCGUUAACGAAAUGGAGUAUCGCAAUGCUACGUCAUAACAUAUUUCCAAUUGAAAAGUCUGGUGUGAGCUCAGCAUAAAUAGUGAACACGUAUUCCCGUUAAAUGCUAAUAUAGAAUUAUUGUCAGAGCUCUGAGAUUAUAGAACGCCGUAGAACACUUCGAGGAAUAGAACUGAAAUAGGGAAAAACAAAAUAUAAAGUCUAGUAAAACAAAAA